GAUUGCUUCGUAGUCGGCAGAAGAGAGGAAGUGGAGAAGGUGGUGGAACAGUUCAACGCAGUGGAUGAGAAACUGAAUUUCACCGUGGAGCAAGAAACGAACGAGUCACUCCGGUUUCUGGAUCUCACGCUCUCGAGAGAGGGUGAGAGAAUUAGAAAAAUUUGGUUUCCAAAACAACGUGACGGCAGAUACCUGGACUACAACUCAGAGAGCCCGCACACGCACAAAAUGAACACUAUGAUCGCGCUUAUUGACCGAGCACUGAAGCUAACAGAUGUCGAACGAAGGGAGGAAAGCAUUCGAAUGGUCAAACACAUUCUCCGCAAUAAUAAUUAUCCAGAGAACCUCAUCCAACGCACGAUAAAGCGUCGGGUUCAUCUCAUAUACAACACUCUUGAGAACGAACGCGAGAAUGGGGAACAAAAAAGGUAUGUGUCCAUCCCAUACAUCCCUGGUUUAAGCGAGAAGGUGAACAAAACGUUGCGAAAACACGAUAUCACAGCGUCUUUUAAACCAUGUGAUAAAGUGAAGAACACGGUCUUCACAAAAUUGAAAGACCCAAUACCACACAUGAAACAAACAAACGUGGUAUACAGUAUUCCUUGUGGAGCAUGUGAAAACAAGGAAUACAUCGGACAAACCUCUCAAACACUGGACAAGCGCAUAACGCAACACAAAAACUCGAUACGCACCAACGCUUCAGCUACGGGACUCACGCAACACGCGGUAGACAACGGGCAUCACUUUGACUUCUCUCGAACUCGGAUCCUAGAGAGAAUAAAUAAUGAUGCAAGCAGAUUGGCUGCUGAAGUGGUCCACAUAAAGAUCAACAACGAAACGACGGUUAAUUUACAGCGUGACGUAGACGGGUUUUCGAACACAUACAACAACUUGAUUAACAAACUAAAAGACGAACAACGACGAACACGACAACAGCAAGAGAGACGAGGACAUAUUACUUAAGAACGAAACGAUUUUAGAAUUAAGUGUACCGCCUUGACAAACGAACGUCCGGCGGAAUCGUAAGUGUUUGUAUUGUAAAAUUUUGAAUGUUUAUAAUGUUUGUAAUUUGUGAUUUGUAUUUUGUAUUAUUUAAUCUGACAGUUCUGAAGAUGACCGAAAGCAAUAAAGUAGGUUGAAACGUAAAGAAGAGUAAAAAAUGAGUUUUAAAUCAUCACCGAAAAACACCAAUUGAAUCCCAUGAAGAUAAAGUAAACGGUGAUCAAAACAACGAUAAGAAUUUUUAAAAAUGUGUGUUUCCAACACAGUCAUUGUGCGGCAUGGAUGUUUACUAAAAAUGUGCAGGCCGAACACAUUUUUGAGCGUAGCCGUUUUUGCGUGCAGCAAUGCAUUCAAAUUCUAGGGGGUAAAGUCUAGCUUCUGAAGCUAAGGAAAACUUCCACUCGGCAGGUUAAUCUGCAAACACCGAUCGUAAAUUUGAGUACACGGAACCGCCAAACUACCGCAAUUCCAUAGUUCGGCCCAAUAAGCCAAAAUUUGAGUAAAUCGAUUAAAUAUACGCUAGGUAGAUUGCCUUUACCCCAGCUAAAAAAUAAGAGUAGGUAAAUUCAACCUAAGACCCCCCUCAUUCAACUCAAUUUUGAGUAAACCGACAUUUACCCAAAAUUGGCUUAUUGGGGUCAAGGACCCCCUUUGAGAGAGGGAAAACAACCUAAUUUUGGGUAACGAGUUUAUUCGAUAUACUCAAUUUUGAGUAAAAUCGACAAAAAAUAGAGGUAUUUUGGAUUUUCCGUGUAAGAUAUGUUAACCCUCGAGCAGUCGCGUCUUUGACUACCUGCAGCGACGCCGCGCUCACGCUGUGUACCACAUGCGUGCAUUUUUCAUGGUGCGUGUAUUGCGGCGCUCAUAAUAAAUCCACAUUGGGCGGCGCGGCGGCGAUAUGCCCGCGAGGAGAUUCCCGCGAUACAGACGCAGUGUCAAAAUUGAACAGAUACUGUCACCUAGAGUCACUCUACUGUCACCCACCCAGCAGCAUCGCAGCAGCCUUCAGGCCGUUCAUGUCAAAACAAAAGCUAACACAAUGGCUACUCAGGUGGCCAGAAAUCGUAAUAAUAUUUAUCGCGACAUUGAUUCACUUUGCAUACGCAUUACCUCUUCGGCUUUGUGUUUAAUAAUCGGGGUGUUAUUUAUGUCGUUUUCGUUUUUGUGGCGGUGCUACACCGCUUCGUGCUACACUGUUCACUACAAAAACGAACAUUUUCGGUGCAGUUGCAUUGGUGUGUGUGAAUAAAAACCAAAAUAUUUACAACUUUGCAAACGUUGAUUGGUGGACACGGUGUACACCCGCUACACUCUCGAAUUUUUGAGUGCUGCACUAUCUUGAGCGGUGCAGAAAAAGUGCUACACCGGUGCAGCACGAAAAUCAAAAACGAACACUUUCGGUGCAAAAGUGAUACACCGGUGUAGCACCACCGCAAAAACGAAAACGACAUUAGUGAUGCUGCAGGAGGAUACGGCUUCAUCCAAGGGGUUGGUCAUUCAGCACACUUCAUUUGUGCCCGAGUUUGUGCCGUGAUUUUUGAGCGUGUGCCAAUAUGUGCCUAAACUGUGCCGGUUGUUUUUCAGUGUGUGCCGAACGUGCCGGAGGUGUGCCGAAUGUGCCCAGUGGAAUAUUUUCUUAGAAUGUUUUUGCGCUAAUUAUAAUCCUGUCAAUUUUUGGCGAAUGUUAUUGGUCUAGUCGGUGUUUACCGACAAAAUUCCACCCAGAACACUUGUCUAGAAUCUGUAUGAAGGGAUUUUUUGCAAUCGUAAGUAUAAUGACAGUUUGAUUCCAUACCGCAAAGUUGGAUUUCUAUGUUGUGCCCAUGUGUGCCGGAUUGUGCCGGCAUGUGUGCCGGCAUGUGUGCCGGGCACAAUGUGCCGAGUCACCAACCCCUUGGCUUCAUCUUUUUCAUUUCCACAUUGCGUCUCUAUCGCGUGCAUCUCCUCGCGGCCAUAUCGCCACAGCCUCAUGUGGAUUUGAUAUAAGCGCCGCAUGUAGAAUUUCUGACCAUCAGGUCGCUCAUAGUGGUGCGGUCAUAUUUUAGCAACUUGAUGGAAAAAAAGAAGACUAACGCGUUUGCGGAUUUAUCUUGCAAGGCACAAUACCCAGUACACGACGCUCAUAGAACACUAAGCUGAGAAGCAGGCUUUGUGCCAGUGAGGACGUUACGCCAAGAAGAGGAGAGGAGGAGUACCCACACUCAAAAUAAUACGCACGUCAAGGCUACGUGGAAAAUCACGUAGCUCCACAAAAGUGUUCAUUUCCUUGAAGUUACCUGUUGACGGUAGUAUUCACCGGAACAAUGGUAAACACUAUUAGGCUCCUGUUACCUUCACCCAGUGACCCAGUACCUGCUACGAGAAAAUCACGUAGCCACUUCAAUCUGGCAGAUUCAUUCUUUGUUUAUUUAGUGAUGAACUUGGCGAUUCUUCCAAGAUGGCGGCAGUGAGAAACGAAUUCUGGAAGCUGUUGCAUCAAUGAUAAAAUUUGACAUCAAGAUGGCUUGCAUUUCCGAUUUGAUGAUGGUGUUAAAAUUGUCGGCGGAUUUAUUUUUCAUCCGUCAGCAGGAGUACCCGCAUGCAUCGAAGAGCUUGCUGCAGCAAUCUGACUCUAGCGGAGCCCUUGGCCGAGCCAGACAAGCAAAACUUCAAAAUGCACCAGAAAAAGCGCUUUAAAAAGUAUUGCUUUAUUUCAAAUCAAUUAAAUAAGUGAAAUAUAUGAGAAAAAAUGUUUUGUUUACUUGUCUACAUUUUCUUCCAUUGGUUAAAUAAAUGCAUUAUUUUUCAACUGUAUGCAAAUUAUGUUUGAAAUUCAUCAGUCGGAAGAUAAUGUAGCUCUUUAAUUACUUAACCAAAACCAAAAACCGGAGCUGUAAUUCAUCUAUAGAUACCGUAAUUGUGAUAUUAAAUCAAAAUACAAUUUAUUGGAGUGUUCAGUAUGAACUACAGGCACACUCUGUAAAGGAUACGAAAAGUCACGUAACUGCUACGUGGAAUACCGGUGGAUGAAUAGUUCAUGAGUGACUUUUGAGUUCAUUCCUUGCUACCCAUGUUCCACGUAAGUGCUACGUGGAAAGUGCGAUGGAAAAAUACUACGUAUGUUUUCACGUAGUUAUGACGUUUGGAUUGUUUGCAGUGCAGUACACGACGCGAACGCUCCCUGGUUAAGAAGCGCAUUUUCUACAAUGAUAUUAUUUAUCAAGGCGGUAAUUGAAAGCUGAAAUUUUCGUCGAUCGAAGCUCGAAUGUCGGAUAAUCGAUUCGUCUGAGAUCUAACUUUGGACAGUUUCGGACUAGUGCGCUGGGCAACUUAUGCCACGCUAUUAUUCAUCCCAAAACAAUGCGUUCGACCGCGACGUUCGACAAUGUACGAAUCCAAUCUCGUUUGUAUGCGAACAUAAUUAUAUUUACGAAAACAAAAAUCUGAGGAACCAGCCAUAAAGAAAAAGGGUAGCAGAAAUGGAUCAGUGAAGCAAACUUUUCUGGCAGAUGUCGCACCAAAACAAAGAAGUCAUCUUAUAUGGACAUUAACAUUGUGACAACAGUCGAGUUAUGUCAAACACACAUAGCUACGGUGGCAGUUUAUUUCAUAGCGGCCAUUUUAGUUCUUUUAAUGGUCCAUUUCCGACGCGGUUUAAUGCAAAUCAGUACUUUAUUUAUGAAUGCACUUCAACUUGAUGUCUCAGCAAAAUAAAAUUGUCCAGAUUUUCCCAGGAGUGCGAUUGGAAGCUGGAACCCAUAUUACAUAGACCUAAUACCUAAAUCAUCGAAUGAGCGUAUUGCUGGAGCUAGUCCACCAUAACCACGCAGGCCAUAGCUAGGCUAGCUUCGUCGAUGACUGUUAAUAAUAAAUAAAAAGAACGCAAGACACCUUCCAUCAAACUAGACGGCUGCCGACUGAUACCUCGAUCAGCAACCGCCAUACUCUUUAUUCCACGAAACACGAUCUUCUCCUCCUGGCUCGAAGUUCCCCCUCACUCCAACGCUUGGCAAGUGGCCCAACUCCAACGUUUGCACCAGCUCUACACCAGUUCCGAGCUCCGAUCAGGUCCAUCUCCGAACUCAACCUUCAUGUUGUCUUCCGGAUCACAGUUUUCCCGUAUCGCCAACAUUUCCAUGAAUCCUGUCCUCCGUUGCAGCCAAUUCAUCCGCCCAAGGAUCACGUGCUGCGGCUCCGCGUCUUAUGUGGCCGAUCCUUCUCCCGGUCGAUACGUGCUGUGGAACACGCUCCUAGGCCCUUAACAUGCUGGAGCUAGUCCACCAUAGCCACGCAGGCCAUAGCUAGGCUAGCUCCGUCGAUGACUGUUUCUUAAUAAUAAAUAAAAAGAACGCAAGACACCUUCCAUCAAACUAGACGGCUGCCGACUGAUACCUCGAUGAGCAACCGCCAUACUCAUUAUUCCAUUCAGGUAUAUACAAUUUAACAAUCCAUAAUAAUAUACCUCUGCCAUCUCUCCAACAAUUGUACCUACCAACAAUACUGCCGCCGUUCACGUACCUGAAGGUUCGACGCUACUCGAGCGUUCAACGCUACCUAACUUCCAACACGUAUAAAGAUCGUAUGUCCAUAUGAAUAGGAAAUUCAGCAAAUAUGAGACUGAUAAGCAAAGGCAGUUUUGUCCAUACAAAUUUUCGAAAUUUGCAUGAAGCGUAGAAUUUGUCCAAAAAAGAAGGCUGACGAAAGAUUGAACUUUUUCUAGUGUUGCCAAUAUUCUAGAUAUUCCAGUUUCCAGUUUUCAAGAUAAUCUAUUUGCCAAACUAUAUAAUAGUGACCGUAAGAAGCAAGACAGGAUUGCUUUUUUUUUGCAAAGGUUCCUAGCGGCACGCCGACGGACGUAGAAACCUCUCCCAUCACUGUGCGCGCAAGCGUCUCGCGUUUGCGCGGACAACGACAGUUCACUGGGCCUUUGGAUAGUAUAAAGAACGUAAUCCAUCAGAAGCAGUUCAUCAGCCGUGCACGGAACAUGUCGUCCAGUAAGACACUGUUGCGUACUAACUCAGAAGGUUACGGUAGAAGGUGUGAAAAAUUCGGUUUUGUCAUACGGUCGAUUUUGUAUGUUUUUUUUUUUUGUCAUGUCAAGGUUUAAAGAAUGUUAUUGUUCAAAUUUAUGUUGUGACCUAUAAUUCAGUAGUCUUUGGUGUGCUUAUGAUCUCCCGCAUAAUCACAAACUGUAAAUGCAACGUUUUUCAUACUGUAGAUGACCAUAUGCAAUUGUCAUUGUACCAUAUCUCAGACUAUCGGAGAUAACAGUAAGCUAACCAUUCCAUGUACAGAUUUGCCAGUUUGACAAAUGGUAAUCCGCCAAUUUACAGUAUGUGGAAUAGGCGGUUAAGAUAGGUUACCAUAAAAAAUCGCGCGUUUUCCCGAACAAAUUUUUCUCAAUACAGUUAAGUAUAUGGUCAAUAUAUUAUCCAGUUUUUCAGACAAUUUACUGCAUAGAAAAUGGUUAAGGAGCAGUUCAACCAUAAACUCGAUACAAAAACGAAUAAUGUUUGUAUAUUGCGAAUCUUUUCUGAAAUCCGCAUACCGGCCAACAACUUGUGCGCCGACGGCCCAUGCGCCGGGUUGUGCGCCAUACAAAAUGUAAAUAAACAAGUGUCAAAAUGGUUCGCGCCAAGAGCUCUAUCUCUCUUAGGGCUCGGAUCCAUUUUUUGUCUGAAACAUUGAACAUCCGUAUGUCUGGAAAUAAUGUACAACAAAGAUAUUAUUGACGGUAACAACCCUUUAACUUCAUUAAACUACUGAUUAAUAGUGAUUUGGCUAGUGAAAAACCUGGCGCAUAGGCAAUCGGCGCGCAAAUUGUGCGCUGGUGUGCGGAUUUGAGUUAAUCGUCGCAAAGUGCCCAACACACAUUAUACCCUGGCGCGCAACCAAGAGGUCGAAGAGAAACUUGUCGAAAUGCUAAAAAUUCUCGAGAAGCUCAAUAA